GAUGAACGCUGGCGGCGUGCCUAAUACAUGCAAGUCGAGCGGAGAGGGGACGGAUGAGUAACACGUCGAUAACCUCCUAUAAGACUGGGGUAACUUCGGGAAACCGGAGCUAAAACGGAGACUUAUCGAUGGAUAGGGGGUGCAUUGGCUAGUUGGUAAGCUAACGGCGUACCAAGGCAACGAUGCAUAGCCGACCGGAGAGGGCGAUCGGCCAGACUGGAACGGAGACACGGUCCAGACUCGUACGGGAGGGAGCAGUAGGGAACCUGCCGCAAUGGGGGAAAGCCUGACGGAGCAACGCCGCGUGAGUGAUGAAGGUGCUCGGUUCGUAAAACUCGGUUAUUAGGGAAGCGGUACCUAAACAGAAAGCCACGGCUAACUACGUGCCAGCAGCCGCGGUAAUAC
rnacentral:rRNA from 1 species